GAUCAUGGCUCAGGAUGAACGCUGGCGGCGUGCCUAACACAUGCAAGUCGAGCGAGAAAUCUUGGAAUGAGACUUCGGUUAAGUGAAGAGAUGGAAAGCGGCGGACGGGUGAGUAACGCGUAGGCAACCUGCCUUAUGCAGAGGGAUAGCCAUUGGAAACGAUGAUUAAAACCUACAUAAUGCCAUUUUAUCACAUGGUGAGAUGGUCAAAGAUUUAUCGGCAUAAGA
rnacentral:rRNA from 1 species